CAGGACCCUUAUAUACAAUGGAAGCCAGAAACAAGUGGCCAUCACAGCAAUUCUGGUUAUCCUUUGUGUCCAACCAACUCUGUAAUGAAUAUGAAUAUGAAGGAGGAACCUGCCAUCGACCCCGUCAAUACUCUGAAAUGUCCUUACUGUCCCAAGACUUUCCUCUACCCUGCCAAACUGCAAAGCCACCUACGAACUCACACGGGAGAGAAACCUUUCGCCUGCCCUUUCUGCACGUACCGAGCUACGCAACAAGGAAACCUCAACCGCCACAUUAAGAUUAAGCAUCACAGAGAGAACCCAGAAAACCCGGAAGGUAAUUAGAUGAUGAUAAUUGUGUGUAUUGUUGUUACAUGAAAUAACAUUGUAACAUUGUUUUUUUUAGAACUGGAUAGAAGAUCUUUAGGAAUCAGUGGUGCAUUGAUUAUCAUUAUUAAAGUGCAGAAAAAGAGCGUUUUAUAAGAAAUGAAAAAAAAAACUUUUAACAAAUUACUUGAUCAACUAUGCAAUAAUAUCUUAGGAGUUUUUAAAGUUUUGAAAGAAAAUAAAUAGUUGUGGUCAUCAAACCCUUUAAUUAUAGUAGUAAGAUAAACAAAUUUCUUUGGUAAUAGAAGAAAGGAGCAUGUUCUAUUAGCUUUCAGGAGCAAUGGAUAAUAAACACUUUUAAAGAACAGUCAGAAAAAGCUAACAUAUAUGAUAUGAUUUAUGCAUGUGUGUGUGUGUGUAUGUCUGUGUGUAAGAGUGUAUGUAUGUAUGUCAGAGUGUAUGUGUGUGUGUAAGAGUGUGAGUAUGUGUGUGUGUAUGUGUGUGUGUGUGUGUGUGUGUGUGUGUGUGUGUGUGUGUGUGUGUGUGUGUGUGUGUGUGUGUGUGCAUGUGAGUAUUUAAGUAUGUGUUUAUAUUCAUGCAAGCUCACUAAAAAAUUAUUGUCAAGUUUGUGCCGAUCAGGACUGGGAGACGGGAAUGGCAAUUUGACUUUUUUUUUUUUCUUUCUUUUUCCCCUUUGUCUUUCAUAUUGUACACUGAUUUGAGAUUAUUUAUAUGAUACAGUAUUGUUUGGAUAUUCCUUACAAUAUAUAAUAACUACAGCCAAUACCUCUCCCAAUAAAGGAAAUGAAUUGAAGUAAAUGAAUGACCGCUUGCCAUUAGUGACUAUUUUAGGGAUUUCUGCCUUUUUUCUUAACUUUGAAUUCCAUCUGGAAAUUAAGCAUAUAAGUUGGCUGAAUUUCUUUGUACAGUUGCUUUUGCAGUGUUAUACAAAUUAAUAGUAUUAUAAUUCCAGUGUCACAUAAUGAAAAGGUUGACAAGUUAGUCAGUUUAAGAGAAUUAGUUGUUUCAUAAUGCAAGACCUAUGGGCAUAUUUGCAUUUUUGUAGUUGUAGAUACAUUCAGAUAAGUAAGGAGAGAUGAAGACAAGGUUGAAUGGCUUCAUGGUAGAAUGCUCUCAUGACUACCUCUUAAUAGUAAGGUUCCUAGAAUAAAUAUUUAUUUGUACAUAUUAAACUUUUUACGUAGAGCAAGACUGUGUCACCUGCAUCUAGUGGAUUCCAGAUAAUGAAGUUUCAUUUUCUUAAGGAUUUUAAUUUCAUGUGCAUAAAAUGUGUACUAGUGUUAUGAAGGUAAUUUUCUCCCUUAAGCAUCUAUGUGAUUAGUGGUUUAAGAGACGUAGCAGUUAUCUAGCCUCUGGUAAGUAAUAUCUUACCAAUCAGAUUACUGUAAAACAAAAGAGUAUAAACAGCUAGUUACCAGUUACUUGAAAGACUGAUAGAAAUGGGUGCUAAGUUCAUAUUACAAAUGAUGCUUAUGCACCUUGAAUUAUAAUAAUGGAAUGUAUAUAGAUAAAAAAUGGUCAGAGUUCUGGUUCUCAGAUGAUAGUUAGCAUUUGAUCAUAGGGAAUGGAUAUGCUAUAAUUGUGUAUGUUUUUGAUGAAAAUGUUGGCCAUAUGAUUGUUAGGCAUACUUUUUGUUUAACAAAAACAGUUGCAAAGUUCUCAGUGAAUUAUUUAGGAAGACCCUUUCCUCUCUUCUUCCUUUUUAUCUCAAGAUAUCAUUUCUCCUUCCACUAUCACAGACUGCAACAGAAAAUUCAAAUGAAAAAAAAAGGAAGGAACAACUGUGGGCAUUUUGUAUUUUCCAUAACUUGAACACUCUCAGCAAAUAAUAUUUUGGUAUUUUAAAUAUUUUGGUAUUUUAAAUUUAUGUGGAAAAUUGGAUAAUUUAUUUGUCAUUCUAGGUAUUAUACACCAUGGUAGUAUAUAAAGGCAUUGACAUCUCAGUCUAGCCCAAGGGUAAUGUAAUUGUCAAUGCAUAUAAUCCUCAUUAAUGAUUAUAAUAGAACACAGACCCAACACUAACUCAAGGUGACUUUAGGUUGAUUCCCUUACCAUCCCCAACAUGUGCUGGCAAUACCACAGCCUCUGCCCCUCAGGGAUCUUGUUUUAUGGAGACCACAUUGUUAAAAGGAUUAGUAGGGUCUUGUUUCUAUAAGGUAUAGGCGUUAUGUAACUUUUGGAGAGUAACCUGUACUUGUAAACAAAGAUAUUUUAAUAACAGACCAAUUGCCUCUUUAAGGUGCUGCUCAUUUUCUAGAUCUUACAAGCACUUGCGUGUCUGUUUCUGUUUUUCCAUAUGUUUCAGGCACUUGAAAGUUCAAAUAAUACAUUUUUUACAUUGCUUAAUGUAGAAGACCAGGCACAUGAAAUGUUUGAUGUUGGUAUUUGACUUACCCAUUGAUGUGGGGAUGGCAUGUACAUAAAUGCCUUGUCCACUAUGAUUCCCCUCAAUAUGUUUAAGACCUCACUUUCCAUUGUUUCUGUUUCCUGCUAUUUUUCUUUCAUCAUCAGAUCAGUUAUUUUAAGCCACAGAUCAUUGGUAGAUGUUGAUUUCCACAUAUCAAGUUUCAUUCCCUUUGGUGCAUCACACAACUACUGAUAUAUGGUAAAAAAGUUGAAUUUUUGUCCAAGAUUCAAAGAAGUGAACAUCUGGUUUCUUAGCUUUCAGAUAUGCAAAUGCAGUUAAGAGAAGUUCCUUCCUUUUUAUUUUUUCUGGGUAUUGUGAAUCACAUUAUUCUUUUGCAAAGAAGUAUACCCUAGAACUGUAGUGGAGGGGGAAAUUGAUAUAUCAAAUGCAACUUUGCCAUUUUCCACAAUGUGUAAGAUAAAAGCUUUCAAGUCUUGUAGCUCUUGCAUUAGUUUGGUCUUCUGUGCUUCCAUAGAUGGUAGUUAAGAAAUGUGUUCAGAUUGUAAAUGAGCUGAUACAUGGUCUGUGUGGCAGUUGAUAAAUAUAUUUUAUCUUGAAAAUAUACAAAUACAGGAGAGGAGAAAAGGAGUAGAAAUAGAGUAACAUCUGUUUGAUUGAUAUUAUAUUCUGUGGUCAAAUGUUCAUCUACAAAAUGAAUUAAUGCACUUUGUACAAAUAUUAUUUUUUAAAUGUUUUACAAGGAAAUGAAGGAAUGAUGUAUUGAAUUUUAUCUUUGUUCAUUUAUAUAAUUUAAAAAGAGGAAACCAAUUAUUAUAGCUUCUUAUCUGUAGAUUGAAUUUUAUGUAGUAGUUGUAUAAAUAACUGACAUAAAUGGUGUAUUUCAGUAGUCAUAAAAGGAUUUAAGAUGAAAAACUUUCAAGUUCACUAACAUCUAAUUAUAACUAUCUCAGGAUAUUAAGCAGGAUUAUCCUUUAGAGAUAGGACAUGUUUGUUUUAAAGGACAUGUUACAUGAAUGACCACACAAGAAAUAUAUCAGCUAAUGUAUAGUUAAAACAAGUCUGUAAUAGAAUUAACAGUACGUGUAUUAGGUCCCAGUUCAUCAAGACCACACAAACAUGUCAAAUUUUAAUAUUAUGUGGUAUUUUUAUUUGAUUAGAGUGUUUACAACUUUUUGAUGAAGUAUAUUGAAUUGAACUGUUUUUAUUUAUGAAUAAUUUGUGUCUGGGAUAAUCCGAUAUGAUUAGUAAUAUCUAUGUGGAUUAAUAAUAGAGAAUGACUACAUGCAGAUCUUUUCAAAUGCAGUGUCAGUUAGUAGACUAAUACAUCAGAAGGUUAAUUUCAGUAAUUUCAAGUUCUGUGUUGUGUUUUCUCAUGUGUAUGUUGAGAAUUUUACACAAAGUGCCAUAUAGAUAUUUUACCUGCAUUGCAUUUGCCAAAAUGCCAAUAUUUUUACCUUAGAAAGGUGGUGCCAUUUAGGAAAAAAUGUUACUGUAUUUCAGUUUUAAGACAGAGAUAUUCAAUUAUUUAAAUAUGCAUUUUGGUGAAGCAUCAGAAUUUGUAUUUAAGAUAUAUUUUCUUUUUGACUAUUAUGGAACUAAAGUUUUAACCCAUUUAAUUUAUCAUCCACAGUGGUUUUGUUUUAUUCAUUUCUUUGUCACAUAAAUGGCUUCUCAAGUGCUUAGUCACCAAGGGGUUAACUGCAACUACUAGGUCUACCUUAAUUCACCUAUUUUUCUUAUUCCUUGAAUUUUCUGUUGUUAAUAUAAUUAUUAUAAACAUUAUUGUUAUUACUAUUAUCUUUCUCAUUUUUCCAAUAUUGGCUACAGUAAUAGUAAUAGUUUUGCCGUCUUAAAAAUUAAAGGAAUGGGAUCAUUGCUGUGGUUAGGUAGGCCUAGCCAUUGACUCCUUCAUAACUCUUUCUCAAGACAUCUAUUUAUAAACAAAGUUAAUAAACAACUACAGUUUACUUAAUAAUUGACUCCUUGGUGGCUAUUUUUUUCUCAAGCCAUCUGUGUGUAAACAGAAUUAAUUAAACAAGACCACAGUGCACUCCCAGCAUUAACAGGUUAAUGUAUUAUAUGUUAUCUUUAUCUGUAUCUUGUGUCAGGACAUGUUUCAAAGAUAGUAGAUUUUUUCCUUAAUUAAGUAAUAGCAUCACUUUUAUUUCAUUCUGUACAAUUUCUUCCAUUGAAUAUCCUAUUAGAUUUAAUAAGUACCUAUAGUAUGCCAAUUCACAGUAUGUCAUGAGAAGCACUUGUGAUAGAGUAAUAGUAAUAGUUAUAAUAGGAAUGCAGUUCUUGCAGGCAAAUAAGAUACUGGCUGUAUAUAUAUCUAGUCAAUGGUCCUUUAAGUGUAAUUUCCAAACCUGACUAAAGGAUAUCACUAUUCAGGGACGAGUACAAGAAUGUCUUUAUGUGUUUUGGUAAUGAGGAUUAUGUUUCAUUCCAAGCUGUCAAAGUAUUUGUAUGGGAUAAUACCAAAGUUGAUUUUAUUUCUUAUACAGGAUGUGUUUUUUUUUAUGUAUAUAUGUAAUAUUUCCGUCUCAUUGGGAAUUUGACAUUGGUAUAUUGUAAAAGGAAUCAGUAUAUGAUUUUAUUAAUGAUGACAAGAAAUUCUGUUUUAUUUUUCACAACAAAGGACACUGUAUUCAUCCUAUAAUGACAUUAAGGUGUAAGUAGUGAAUAUGGUCAACCAAAAGUGUAUUUGUAAAAAUUAUAUACCAAGCUUCUGUUUCCUUUUCACCAAACAGGUUAUUUGAAAUUUAAUGAAUCUCAUGAUUAACCACAUGUUGAGGGUUAGUUAUUAGUGCUGUACAAGUGGUCAAACAAAGUUCAUAUGACUCAAGUAUAUGCACCACAUUUUUUCACUUAGUGAUGUAAUAUAUGUAUAUAUUUGUGAUAAUCAUCUUUGAUACUUUGUAGAUGAGAAUUAAAAGAUAGAAUUGA